rnacentral:lncRNA from 13 species
AAACAGUAUGCUAAUGUCUCAUAACGAUAUCAACCGGACACUUUGCGUCUAUAAACUACGAUUUAGUUGCUAAUUACUUAACUAUUUGCCAUGUGGUUAAAUGUGUUUUUCAGAUGCUAAUAUAAGCACAGACAUGCUGCCCAGCCUCUCUAAGGAGGAUUUGCGUGAUCUUUCUCGGGCCAGAACACUUCUUCAGAAGGAGAGCCAUUUGGAGAUUUACUCAUGGCGAAAAUGAGAGACCACCAUGGUGCCACCAGAACCGUACAGCUUGUCAGCCCACAGUAUGUCUUAUACACAGACACAGAGUUGGAGCAAUCAAGAAGCACCUUUUUUGAAAAACAGCAUGAUGGACAAGGAGACUAUAUCCUUUCCAAAGAUCUUCGCUGUCGAUGAAUCAGGAAUACAGUAACAAGCAUGAUUUCCAUUAAGAGAGCAGCAGGGGAUGACUUCCAGUAUCCAUGCAGCCGUGAACUCACUGUAAUGGCGAAGCGUCUCAUAGAGUACUACCCAAUGCUGUGGGACAGAUCUACAACCAGUGGAGCUGAGUGGGAAUCUGUGAAGAAGCAGCUUUUGAAAAGGAUUCAGAAUGUGACAACCCCCAAAAAGAAGCAGGGAGCGACCCCUUCAAGAAAGAGGCCACGAAGCCUUAGAUUUCAGAGCAGCCAGGAGAUGUCCACUGAUGAG